GAUGAACGCUGGCGGCGUGCCUAAUACAUGCAAGUCGAGCGAACAGAUGAGGAGCUUGCUCCUCUGACGUUAGCGGCGGACGGGUGAGUAACACGUGGAUAACCUACCUAUAAGACUGGGAUAACUUCGGGAAACCGGAGCUAAUACCGGAUAAUAUAUUGAACCGCAUGGUUCAAUAGUGAAAGACGGUUUUGCUGUCACUUAUAGAUGGAUCCGCGCCGCAUUAGCUAGUUGGUAAGGUAACGGCUUACCAAGGCAACGAUGCGUAGCCGACCUGAGAGGGUGGUCGGCCACACUGGAACUGGGACACGGUCCAGACUCCUACGGGAGGCAGCAGUAGGGAAUCUUCCGCAAUGGGCGAAAGCCUGACGGAGCAACGCCGCGUGAGUGAUGAAGGUCUUCGGAUCGUAAAACUCUGUUAUUAGGGAAGAACAAAUGUGUAAGUAACUAUGCACGUCUUGACGGUACCUAAUCAGAAAGCCACGGCUAACUACGUG
rnacentral:rRNA from 1 species